CUAUACUCAUUCAUAGCCCUUAUCCAAGACUUAAAAACCUUUGAACAAUGGAAAUAACACUCAGAUAUAUGGCCUAGAGAAUGCCUGCCUCGGGUCUAGAAUAUCCUACAGGAUUUCUUAUAAGCUCGAGGCUAAUGUUCAUCCGUGAAUACCCGUCUUGUGGCUUGGGCUUCAAAUGCCUCAAAAGUUUUAUAUGGGGCUAUCACUCGAUAAUUGAGUAUAGAGAAACCUGCCUUAUGGCCUGGCAUGAAGGUCUCGAUUAUUGGGACCAAUGCUCGAUCUUUUGACUUAGCUUAUACUCACUCUAUGGCCUUGUUUAGUAGGACUAAUGCCCUAAUGGUCUGGCAGAACUCAC
rnacentral:lncRNA from 1 species